UAUUGCUUGUCUUGCGUGAUUUACGGUUGAUUUGUGAAAUUAGAAAUUAAUAUGCAAAUGAAAAAUUAUUUGAUCAUGUGAAUUAAUGAAUGGUUGUCUUAUUGGAUAUCCUGAGAGAUGGUGAACGGACCGGGUACAUAGGUAACCUUCCCGUGAAUGUUACCUCAUACUGAACGAGGUAUCGAGGGAUGACAUUUUUGACACUCAUACCGAACGGGGUAUCAAGGGAUGGUAUUUUUCUCUCUCAUACCAAAGGGAGUAUGGAGAUGACCAGUUAGUUGGCAAGUUUAGGUAUUGGGUUCACACGCAGUGGAACAUCCCUAUGGAUCCCUAGGGAUACUAGUAAGCAGAUAAAAAGGAAAAGUUAUUG
rnacentral:lncRNA from 1 species